rnacentral:rRNA from 1 species
AUUGAACGCUGGCGGCAGGCCUAACACAUGCAAGUCGAGCGGAUGAAGGGAGCUUGCUCCUGGAUUCAGCGGCGGACGGGUGAGUAAUGCCUAGGAAUCUGCCUGGUAGUGGGGGAUAACGUCCGGAAACGGGCGCUAAUACCGCAUACGUCCUGAGGGAGAAAGUGGGGGAUCUUCGGACCUCACGCUAUCAGAUGAGCCUAGGUCGGAUUAGCUAGUUGGUGGGGUAAAGGCCUACCAAGGCGACGAUCCGUAACUGGUCUGAGAGGAUGAUCAGUCACACUGGAACUGAGACACGGUCCAGACACCUACGGGAGGCAGGAGUGGGGAAUAUUGGACAAAGGGCGAAAGCCUGAUCCAGCCAUGCAGCGUGUGUGAAGAAGGUCUGCGGAUUGUAAAGCACUUUAAGUUGGGAGGAAGGGCAGUAAGUUAAUACCUUGCUGUUUGGACGUUACCAACAGAAUAAGCACCGGCGAACUGCGU